UAAAGCCUCUGCUUUCAUGUCAGGAUCUUAUUCAUUUGCUACCAGGAUCAGCAUACGCUUUUUACCCAAGGGUUCAAAAUACGGAGGCCGCAUUGUGUCCAUGGAUGGGAGCAUGGAAAGAAACCUUUAAAAGCUGGACCAAGAAAGGAAAGAAGACAGAAAAGUAGGAAGAAAUCCUGAUACUGGUGGUACCAAAUGCCUCUGAAAUUGUUUCGAAAGUAAAAGUUAAGAGGGAACUAAUAA
rnacentral:lncRNA from 10 species